CUGCAUCUUUCAUCUUUCAAGGCUGUGAUUAACUGUCUUCUCAGGGCCGGAGGUGGGGGGCAGACGCUGGCUUCGGAAAACCUUAGUUACCGAUCAUGUUUGAUUUCAGAUGGAAAUGAAGAUAUCGAGGCGGCGUGCUCCCCGGUGCAGCUUUCAGCUUGCUGGGGUAGAAAUCACUGUUGGGUUUAGGAAAUAAACGAUCCCAAUUGAUGCCGUAAAACUUAAACUCGACCGGGGAUAAACAGCGUUUGGAAGGGCGAAGGGGGUUCGGGACCAGUGUAAGGGAUCCUGGACACAUCUCACCUGCAAAUGCACACUGGAGCAGACACAGUGAAUGGGGAACGGAAGGCAUGUGAUUGUCAGCCGGGCGGGGAAGCGAUCAUGGAUGCAUGCAGACAUCCACACAGAACCACCUGAGACAAAGAGCCACACUGCAGGUGCCAUGGAAAACUGCGCCCAGGCAGCAAUGAACUAACCAGGAGCUCAGAAACACUAGGUCCUUACAAAGAGGUCAAAGUUAUCUUCUUGGUGUGACCGCAGAAAGAAAAAAAAAAUAGUCUAUUUGUGAGGCAUACAAUUAUCCAAGACUUUAUUAAAUGCAAUAAUAGCAACAAUACUAAUCCAAAUAGUUGAGCAAAAUAAAAAAGAAAACCACCUCUC